UACAUGGGGUGCAAACGUUGCUCGGAAUUAUUGGGCGUAAAGCGCACGUAGGCGGUCCGUUAAGUCGGAUGUGAAAGCCCCCGGCUCAACCGGGGAAGUGCAUCCGAAACUGGCGGGCUUGAGUACUUAAGAGGAUCGCGGAAUUCCCGGUGUAGAGGUGAAAUUCGUAGAUAUCGGGAGGAACACCAGUGGCGAAGGCGGCGAUAUGGGAAGAUACUGACGCUGAGGUGCGAAAGCGUGGGGAGCAAACAGG
rnacentral:rRNA from 1 species